rnacentral:rRNA from 1 species
GAUGAACGCUGGCUGCGUGCUUAACACAUGCAAGUCGAACGGUGAACGAGGGAGCUUGCUCCCUCCGGAUCAGUGGCGAACGGGUGAGUAACACGUGAGCAAUCUGCCCUGGACUCUGGGAUAAGCGUUGGAAACGACGUCUAAUACCGGAUACGAGUCGUGGGGGCAUCCCCAACGCCUGGAAAGAACUUCGGUCCAGGAUGAGCUCGCGGCCUAUCAGGUAGUUGGGGAGGUAAUGGCUCACCAAGCCUACGACGGGUAGCCUGCCUGCGAGGGUGACCGGCAACAGUGGGACUGAGACACGGACCAGACUACUACGGGAGGCAGCAGUGGGGAAUAGUGCACAAGGGGCGCAAGCCUGAUGCAGCAGAGCUGCGUGAGAGACGACGGACUUCGGGUUGUAAACCUCAUUUAGCAGGAAAGAAGCGAAAGUGACGGUACCUGCAGAAAAAGCACCGGCUAACUACGUGCCAGCAGCCGCCGUAA